rnacentral:rRNA from 1 species
UGUUUCGGCUAGGGGGUCAUCCCGACUUACCAACCCGAUGCAAACUACGAAUACCGAAGAAUGUUAUCACGGGAGACACACGGCGGGUGCUAACGUCCGUCGUGAAGAGGGAAACAACCCAGACCGCCAGCUAAGGUCCCAAAGUCACAGUUAAGUGGGAAACGAUGUGGGAAGGCACAGACAGCCAGGAUGUUGGCUUAGAAGCAGCCAUCAUUUAAAGAAAGCGUAAUAGCUCACUGGUCGAGUCGGCCUGCGCGGAAGAUGUAACGGGGCUAAACUGUGCACCGAAGCUGCGGCAGCGACACUAUGUGUUGUUGGGUAGGGGAGCGUUCUGUAAGCCUGCGAAGGUGGCCUGUGAGGGUUGCUGGAGGUAUCAGAAGUGCGAAUGCUGACAUAAGUAACGAUAAUGCGGGUGAAAAGCCCGCACGCCGGAAGACCAAGGGUUCCUGUCCAACGUUAAUCGGGGCAGGGUGAGUCGACCCCUAAGGCGAGGCCGAAAGGCGUAGUCGAUGGGAAACAGGUUAAUAUUCCUGUACUUGGUGUUACUGCGAAGGGGGGACG